UGCCAAAGGUAGCAUCUUUAUCUCUACCACCUGCUUUACCUCUGUCACUUGCUAGAACCAGAAGUGCCUGCUAUGGAGACUGGCCAGUCCUUUUGGGCAACCAAGACUUGAUCAAUACAAUAUGAUUCCACCAGGGACUUCCCCAGCCAACGUGAUUGUGGGCCAUGAAAACAAUGAAUUUCCCAGACAAAAGACAUACCCAAAAGAAAAUGAAGCACGAGGGGCUGUACAAAUUGUCAUUGCUAUGAUACAUGUUGCUCUUGGAUGCAUUCUGCUGUUUGCUCCAAAAGAAUUUUCUUCACUGAUGAUGUCUGUUUGGUAUCCCUUCUGGGGAGCAGGGCUUUUCUUCAUUUCUGGAUACCUUGCAUCUAAAGCUGCAAAAAACACCGUUGAUGGUCUGAAAACCUGCAGGAUGAUUCAUGGGGUGCCCAGUGUUUGAGUUUGGUAUGGAGAAUGAUCCAAGCCAAUUGAGAUCUCCUUGACCUUAGUGUGACUCUACCAAUAUGGUAUAAAACCCAUAUCAGCUUUGCUUAAGCCUACAAACAACACAAGACCUUUCAAUGGCAGCCAGGGCAUUUUAUGCAUGAUGCUGAUCUUCUCUUCCCUCCAGUGUGGAACUGCUUUUGAAACUCUUGCCUCAGUAAGGAUCCAGAAGCUCAUGACAGAAGUAAAAACAUAACCAAACAGAUAAUGUUGGCGGGUGCUGUUUUAUCUUACAUUUGUUGUGCACUGGUCAUAUGCUAAGCAGUUUACAGAACAUAAAAGAAAAAAGAACAAAUCAGAGACAGACAACACAGAACAAAACCUUGUAUUGCUGACACAACUACAGUCUGGAAAUGGAUCUAGCAAUCCACCACCACCGUAUUUCAUCAGAGGAACAAAAAAGUAAGAAUUUAUAAGAACUUGACUCAGUCCAGCCCUGGCUUCCUUUCCCACGCAAGUGAUCACUGGGACUUUAGCUUUCGGAAAAGGCCUCCUGCUCACAACCCUGGCUGCAGGCUCACAUAGCAUCACAUGGCUUACAUGGUUCCCCAUCCAAGGCUAGAUCAGGGCAGCUCUUCUGUGAGUGGCUGCCUCUCUCUUUUUCACAUGCAGGAACGGAGAAAACGUCACCUUAAUUUCUGUGCACCAGCCUACUGCGAAGGACUGAAGAGCACGGCCAGCUAACAAAACUAGCAACCUUAUUAAUCAAGCCUGAGUUACAUGACAUUUGAACUUCUUUUCUGGAGACAGUCAGAAUCUCCUGAAACUACUCUCUGAACUGCGCUGAGGCACCAGUAAGUAUACUGUGUAAGGGUGAUGGAAACAAAAUCCAAUCACAAUUAAGAAUGAGCACAGUAGUCUGUAACUCUCUACAUAUAUUGUUACGCGUGCUUCACUUCCCUGUGCAGUCGGAAGUUCAAAGGAUAGGUACGAAAGAGCCUAGUUGCAUUUGGAUGCACACUGGACAGCCUGCAUCCAGUA